rnacentral:rRNA from 1 species
GGGCCACCGUUUGUUGAGUGCAAAUAUGGAUGACUGUUUUUGCCGGCUUCACUGUCGGCUUAUAAGGGUUAUCAAAUAUCACUUUGAUUAAAUUAGAGUGCUCAAAGCAAGUGUGUUACUUGGAUAUAAAUGCAUGGAAUGAUGGAAUAUGUUGUUAUUCUAUUUGUCGGUUUUUGAACGAUGAAAUGAUUGAAAGGAACCGUUGGGGGCAUUCGUAUUGUUGUGAGAGAGGUGAAAUUCUUAGACCACAGCAAGACGAACUACUGCGAAAGCAUUUGACCCAGGACAUCUCCAUUGAUCAAGGGCUAAAGUUGAGGGAUCGAAGACGAUUAGAUACCGUCGUAGUCUUAACCACAAACGAUGCCGACUAGAGAUCGGGCUUGACUAUUGAGGCUUGCUCGGGAUCUUAGCGAAAGCAAAGUUUUUGGGUUCUGGGGGGAGUACGGCUCGCAAGGCUGAAACUUAAAGGAAUUGACGGAAGGGCACCACCAGGAGUGGAGCCUGCGGCUUAAUUUGACUCAACACGGGGAAACUCACCAGGUCCAGACAUACGGAGGAUUGACAGAUUGAAAGCUCUUUCUAGAUUGUAUGGGUGGUGGUGCAUGGCCGUUCUUAGUUCGUGGAGUGAUUUGUCUGGUUAAUUCCGAUAACGAACGAGACCUUAUUCUGCUAAAUAGACAGACUCAUUUUUUAAUGGGGUUGAAGGCUUCGGUCUUUGCUGUCUUCUUAGAGAGACUAUCGU